GUAGUAAGAAUUUUUAUUUGCACACUGUACUUGCAAAUACAACAUUGCCUUCUGGGCACAAUGACAAAAAAAAUCCCAUAGAAUUUUGCAGACCUGGUCUGUCAUAAACACAACUCUAUUUCAGCUUAUACCGUAAGAUAAACCAGAGAUGGCUUUCUCUUUCAGCUGAUCUCAUGGCAGACUCUUCAUUUUUUUUCCUUCUAAACAAGCUUUAACCAUGGGGAUGUCAAUUCCACAGUGACCUCCAGGGAAACCUUCUGCACACUUUUAUUGCCGCACCUGUUAUGUGUUGUAGAUUACAAACAUUGCUCCCUUGCAGCCUCGCAACUCUUCUGUUCCAUACAAUUCAUUUAAAUAUCGAUUCUUGCAUAAUAUGGAAUUUAUAGGAAAGGAAUUCUAAAGAGCCAUAUCGUGUCACAGUAUGCAGUCAGUAGGCCGGUAAGUAAAUCAAGUAUUCUUUCCAAUUAUUUUUUUUAAAGCAACAUUUAUUUAAAAAACAUUUGCUGUUCUUUCUGAAACAAAAUGAAUGAAAAAGAAGUGUUUGAGAAAAUGUCAGCAUUUCAAAGAAGUCUUAAUUUUCACCAAAAUCUUUUGGUGAAACUGGCAUGACUGCCUAGGAUGCGUGUUCCUUUUGGAUUUGUCUUGGAAGAGGAGUAACCAGUGCCCAACAGUUGGUUUAGGUGUGAUCAACUAAUAUUUCCACAGAAUUGAAAAGAAAAAACACAGUAUGAGAGGGACUGGUUACACUGACAAGAUAAAAUAUUUUCAGACAUCCUUGCAACAACAGAAGAGGCUGCAAGUGACGGUGAAGGUCAGGUUAGUAUGCAGAACAACACCGAGUUGAGAUCCUUCACUGACAUUGACCCAACCUGAGGGAGACUGUUUCCAGGAGUAUUUUGAGUGAGAACAAUAUUCAGAGCCAUUUCUGCUCACUGAAAAGGGGAUAAAUGAGCAACCUUCUACAUAUUUACCAAUGUAACAAGGCAAACCUACCAUGAAGGGUGUAGCUUUGCUGCUCACUGACGAUUUAAUGGGAGAAUUCUGCUUGAGUUCCAGUGGAGCCAUUGCUUGGCUGCAUGACACUGACUGCUGGAGGAUUUCAGAGGGCAGGAGAGAAACCAUCAACAGCAGUUGACAUUAACUGUUCUGAAAUCAGCCAGAAAAAAAACCAAGAAGUCAGGUUUGUAAUGGUUGUGUUAUGAACCCAGUGUUUUGUGGAAGAUCUAAAUCAUACACUGUAUGUUGUUAGAAAAUUACAUUCAGUGCUUCAGGAGUUCAGGCACUACUAAUGAUGCAUUAAUGUUUUAAGGCUUUAUUUAUUUAUUUAUUUAUUUAUUAGCUUUUAGAAAGUAAAACACAUAAAAAAUAUUCUAACUAUAAUGUUGAUAGUUUUAUGCUCUAGAAAGAGAUCAUGGCACUAAGUUUCCCGUCAAAAGAAACACCUCACCAACCAACAAAAUAAAACACCAACAAACUUGAAGACUUGAAACCUCAACCUAUGGAUUGUUUUUCUCUUUUGUAAUACGUAGCACAGAAAGCUUACUACGCUGCGUUUUGGAAUACUGUCACGUUUUGCUGUGUGAGUCCUUAAUCAGAAAAGCAGAACAUUUGUCUCCAGGAGACAAGGAAAUAGGUGCUUGGCUGGAUUAUGCACCUAUCAGCUGCACCUAAGGUACUGGUCAUAAAAAAAAAAAAAAAAAAAAAAAAAUUAUAGAAGACUCAUUAAAUUAAUGGCUAACGGAGCUAAAAACUGUUUUACCCAUGAUAACUGCUUGAGAAUCUCCCUCUGGAAAGAGCUACACUUCUGAUCAUGGCAUAAAUCCUUUCCAUUUGCAGUGAAAUUCAACAACACAAGUAUCCCUCUAUAGCUCUAUGGAGACUGUGACCUCAAUUUCUAUAGCAUUGUGCAUAAAAAUGUAGACUGUUGUAUUGGUGUGAAAUCGUUCCUGCUGUCAUUGCAGAUUUUACAUUAGAUAGAAGACGAAAUCCAACCCUCUGUUAAACUCAGAAGGUAUUCCCAUUUAAUUAUUCAGUGACAGAAUAUCCCUUUUGAAUAGAUUUUUAAAAAAGCAACUAAAUUCUGUUUAAAAAAUAGACGUGUGUAAUUUGGCUUGGAAAUUCAGCUCUGCUUGAUACAGUGAACUAUACAAACGUAUGGAUUAUCUGUGAAAUCACUGGAGAUUCUCAACCAUUCCAAGCCCUUGCAGACCAACAGCCUAAGAAGGGGAUUUCUUUCCUUUUGUUAAAAAUAAUGUUUUGGGGUCUACUUGCAUUCUUUGCAGCAAAUCUGAAAGAUACUUAGGAAAAUGGAAGUAGCUUUGCAGACUUAAAUCAGAAUCUGGAACAUUUUAAUGACCAGUCAUAGCACAGAUGCUCAGAGCAUCAUUUCCAAUUGGUACGGGUUGGAAAGCACAGCUCUCUCUCUGCUGGUACAACUCCUCCUGGGACGUGUGCAUUUGAAAUCUGCUCUGGAAGUCUUUUUGCUUAACAAGUUUAGGGAAUGGAAGGAGGGACAAAUAAAACAUUUGGUACUCUUCUGUCAUUAAUCAGUGGUUAUGCUUAGCAAGAGGAGGUGUCUUUGUUAUAAUUUGAUUCCAAUACCUAGGUGUUGGUUAACUUCACACUAGAAGUAACAUCACUAAGACAAAUUUCUAUAUAGAGGACUAGAAGAGUUUAAAACUAUUUCUAGAAUUGUGCCCCAUUUCUCUGCCUGCAUUCAUCAUUCACAGUGGUCUGUCUGGAAUGACACAGUGGCAAAAUAACUAAGAGUGAGUACUGACUUUUAAAUCAGAUGAAAAGGGAUUGUUUGCACUUUCACAAGUGAUGGAGAGGUGCAGACUUCCACCAAAAUAUACUUUGUCUUGAAAUCUUUUUCUUUUUUUCAUGUAGUGUCUCUAGUUUAAUGAUCUUUGUACCUUAGAUUUAUUAUGCUUCACAAUUUCCCUUCCAUAUGUAGCAAAGAUCGGACAUUUUUUGUGCAGUUUUUAUAAGACUUGCAUAUUGAGUUUGCUACAAUAUUCUAAAAGUGAGAGUUGUAUCAUUAGGUUCACAGAAGGAUUAUAGACAGUCAUGGUCACCAGGGCCAUGACAUAGGGUCAGUUUCUCUAAUCCAAUUUGUGGACCUUUGGGAGCAAGACGGGACAGCAGAAGGUGGUCCGGCAUGCAGGCUCUCCACCACCACCUCUGUGGCUGCAGGGAGGCUUUUCAUUGCCAUGGGUUUAAAAGCAAGAAGGACACAGUGGCAGGAGCUCCAGGACACUCCCAUCCUGAGAUCUCUCUUGAUCUUGGCUGGAGAGGAAAAUGUUAUAAUAAAGCUGUAAAUUGUUUUAGCUCUUUAUGCCUGGUGGACAAGGAGUGACAAUACUGCUUUUCAAGGUCUUGAUGUAUUGAAGACACCAAGGAUGGGGUAGCUAGUGUGUAAAAUUAAGGAGGGUUUUUAUGUGGAGUGUUAUGAUGUCCGUGUUUGGGAUAUUCACAAAGGUGCUAUUCUACUAGAUGCUAUUCUAACCAUUGUGUGAAGAAAUGAGGGAACAAUGAGGAACGCUAAGCAACUACCUUCAUGUUUUACUGCAAUUAAAUGUGAGGUCACACAUGACCAACGACAUCGGUCACACUUACAAAACAAGAGGCAAGAAGCUGGUAUGAAGUGACAGUGAAAAGGGGCGACUGUUGCCUUCCAGAGCGAGGCUGAAGCUAACGUUAACAUGAUACACAGGCUGAGGACUAUUAAUCAGUAGGACUGCAGUGUCUGAUUGUAAAGAGAUCACUACUUUAAAACAUAGCAGAAAAGCUUCCGAAAACAGAAACAAUUACAGGCCUAGAAACAUGCCCUAAUGUGACCUUAAUGUCUGUAUUUAAUGGUUGCAGACAAUAUUCAAAUGUUAUUUGAUCACCUAUCUUCAAUAUAAAUUUGAUGCAUGACUCUUUAAUGCUAUAUAAAAAUGUAAAUUAUAAUCCAUUGAUGGAAGCUAGUGUUAGACAAAGGCAGCCCGGACAAAAAGCAGAUUUUUAAGCAACAGGUUAGUCUUGGGAUCAACUUCAAUUGACAGACGUCAACAUGACUGCCUUUUGAAAUCUUUAAAUAUCAGAGAUCUUUCUAAUGAUAGUGUUGUAUGGUCUGGUUUAAGUGAAGUUGUUGGUUAGAUGUGGAAGUUGUUGGGUGAUGUUUACACUUGCCAUUAUGC
ensembl:lncRNA